rnacentral:rRNA from 1 species
GAACUUUCCAGAGAUGGAUGGGUCCCUUGGGGAACUCAGACACAGGUGCUGCAUGGCGGUCGUCAGCUCGUGUCGUGAGAUGUUGGGUUAAGUCCCGAAACGAGCGCAACCCUUGUCCUUAGUUACCAGCACGUAAUGGUGGGCACUCUAAGGAGACUGCCGGUGACAAACCGGAGGAAGGUGGGGAUGACGUCAAGUCAUCAUGGCCCUUACGGCCAGGGCUACACACGUGCUACAAUGGUCGGUACAGAGGGUUGCCAACCCGCGAGGUGGAGCUAAUCCCAAAAACCCGAUUGUAGUCCGGAUGGCAGUUUGCAAUUGGACUCCUUGAAGUGGGAAUCGCUAGUAAU